CCCCCCAAAUAAUUACUUCUUUUUAUAUAAUGGUCAUGUGUUAUUAUGAAAUGGGAUCAUUUGCGAGAGAAGCGGGAAUUAACGAAGGAGGACAAAAGUGAGGAACAGCUGCUAAAGGAAAUGAAGAAGCAGACAAAGGAGGAACAGCAGACAGAGAGAAGAGAGAGUCAGGAGGCAAUAGAGAGCGGAAAAGAAGUUCUCAUUGAGAUGGAGAACCUGCAGGUGAGACUCAAGCCCACCUACUAAAUGGGCCUGUAGAAAAAGGACACGGGUGAAGAGUCAGGGUUAAAACUGUGAGCGUCAUUCCCCAAACGUUCUUAAAAAAACUCACCUACGCAGUGUUGAAGCAGAUUAACUGAUCUGUCUUCAUUAGGGAUUUGUUGUUAGGUAAGAACAGAAUCUACACACAAAGGUGCGAACAGUCUAUAAGAACACAUCAUGAAUCUGACGUAGACUUUUUUAGGACCUUUCUCAAGAAAAAUGAAAGAAAAAAACUUAAAUUGGUGAAUGAAGCCCAGUGUCUUCAACUUACUUAACCCUUACAAUCCCAGGCUUAUAAGGCCUAUUAUUCAGUAACUACAGGGCUUCAAUGCAAACUGGCUGAGUUAUUCUUAGAAUUAGGAAGUGUGUAAUAAAACUUUGGACCCUGGUCCAAAGAUUAAGGGGUUAAUCUUUUUGAACGCUGUGCUUAUUAUUCAGGAACUAUUAUUCAUUUUUGAAUAAAUACUUUUUAUACAUCUACUAAAUGCAAACAUAUCACUGUUUUUAACUAAUAUAUUUAAACAAAGUCAUAUUUCUCAGGGGCUGAUGAAGUCUGGACGGUUGUUUAGAUGCAGAUCUAGAACUUAUGCAUUCUUUUUUUAAGGUUGAAUAACUCUGUAGGUAACGUGGUUAGAUUAUAUAAUAUGUACACUUUAUGAAGCAAAAGCAUGUCUUAAUCUCUCAGAUGGAACGAGCAAAAUGUGGUGCAGAGAGUGCUGUCCAGUGUUCUGUCCAGUGUUCACUCCAGAUUUAUGUCCAUCAUGGAGUUCCGAAAAAAAUUCUCAAUGCAGCCUGUUCAGCAUGAGCAAGAGGAGUUGAAGGAUAAGUCUCCACCUCAUCCAUUGGUGCCACUCGGCGCUCUGACUGGGGUCCUGACCAUACACAUACGAAGCUGCAGAGACUUCAUGAAAACCACUCAUAUACAGAAAGGCACUCUAUGUGUUGUGAGGAUCACUGUGGGGAGAAUGGUGAAGAGCUCCCUGCUGCUCCCUUCGAAGACAUCAUCGCUUUCAAUGAAGUGAAACACUUCAUACAGUAAUGUGACGAUCCCUUGCAGACCAUCCUCUGUCAACAUCGUGUCCUCUCUGAUGGAACAAGAUGCACAGAGAGACAGAGAGUGCAGGAUAUCUGCUGGUGUAAUGGACUGCAUGGAUAGGAGAGGCAGGUUGUCACAGCUUCAUAAAACCUUGGAGGAGUGUGAGACAGGAGAGCAUAGGGUGCAGUCACUGGAGAGGUUGAUUUUGAAGACAGGAACUCUCACCAGCUCUUCCUACAAAACAUGCUUACUACUUCUGUAUCACUCCAGUGCUAGUAUGGUGUAUUGUUGUAUUAGAUAGACUUACUGUCAAAGUAAGGUAGUGUUGUCUGUAACAGUUCCAGUCUAAAGAGAAGGAAGAGAGGAGAAGAGAGGAGAAGAGGGAAGACGAUAAGCCAGAGGAGAGAGUGGAAAAAGGCAAAGCGAAAUGUAAGACGAGGAAGUAAAACAAGACCUCACAGUCUGCUCAGCUGGCCUUACAUGUUCUUUGAUGGCCUCCCAGUCUCCUGCAGAUGAAACUCAAGUAUAAGUGAAAGGUUAGAUCAUUUUAAUUACAUUUUUUCAUGCAUAGAAAGAAGCGGCCAAUUCUUGAAGCCAGGGCAGGCCCUUCCAUUAGGCGCUAUAGGCAAAUGCUAGGGGCGCUCGUGUGCAUGUGUUUUUUUUGUUUUUUUUUUUACAAAUGAGCAAUUAAUAAAUAUGAAAACAUGCAAAGUCCACGUAAUCAUAACUUCAUUGUUUAAUAAUAUUAGUCAAAUUAAUAAUUAUUAUAAUAACAACACACAACACCUAUCACCUCUGCACACCUCGUUACUGUUUCUCUGUGAGGAAAAAGACAACGCCACAGAGUGAGUGACAUCUCCCCGUAAAGAUGUCUAAAAGGCAGAAGUCCUCUGGUGCCCAGGGCAGAAAAAGGAGAAAAGAGGAGGAAGAAAGGUGGCGAACAGAGAAAACAAACUGUCCAGCCUAUGACCAGCUGCUGGUAAUCCCUUCCUUGUUGCCGGAACCGUUGAAAAACCUCAGACACAGGUAGAAGUACAAAAUCAAGUGAGGUGUCUGAAGGUUGAAUGUUGAUGGGCCACAGUUUUAUAGCUGCUCAGCCAGAUUUCUCCUCUGAUGACCUCCCAGUCUUCUGCUUUGAUGGUCUCCCCAGUCUCCAGCUCAACCAGACUCCCUGUCUUUCAUCCUACAUUGGGUCUCAUCAGCUACAGCUCCAUCCUAUUUCUGCCUACUCAAAGUUCCAAACACCUUUUUCUUCUUCAUUGUACAUUUCUCAAAUGCAUUUUUAAAACUUCCUCAGUGUUUACAGUUCUCUGCUAUUCCUUGUGUUUUGGUCCUUGCUCUGUUUUCUUGGUUUUAGAUUAUGGAUUUCUCUUGUCUGCCUGCCUACCUGUGUACAGACCUCUGCCUGUGCCCAUGAUGAAGAGUACUGGAAGCCCUCACAUGUGGGCUGCCUACACAGAUCCAGCACCAGUCUGAUGCAGCAAUGUGCAUGGAAAAGAGAAGUGCAGGAUGUCUGCUGGCGUAAUGGACUGCACGGACAGGAGAGGC